GGACAAAGAAUGAAAUGGGUUUGGAUGCUGAAGAUCAGCUGUAUCUACAUCUCAUCUUUUAUUUCUAUCUGCUGCUACCUUCAACAGCUAAACAGAUGGAUUCCUCCCCUAAUUCCGGUCUGGGAGGGAGAGGUCAGUAGUGUGGGCUUGGCCCCUCCAGUCUUUCCAAACUCUGUGUCAUCAGGAAGUCACCUCUCAUAAGGUGGUUCAUCAGGCCAGCUCCAUCCUCCAGCAGUGUCACUGCAUUGAAGUGGUACACCACAGUGCUUGCACACAGCAGCAGAAACUCUUGACUAACUAGGAGGAAAGUCCUUUGUUGCACUGAGGCUUCUUGGUCACAAAAUUCACAGUCAACGAGCAAACCAAGAAACAAAAUUCCAGGAAAGAAGACACAAUAAACCAGCAGAUUGAAUGAACAAACCAUGCCUGCACUGUAUCAGUGAGUACCUUAAGGCUGACAGUUUGUGGGGGUGAGGUGUGUGCAAUCCUUCUGUACUCAUUAUUUACCACACAAAUUUGCUUUCUGCUGCACAUUUGCAGUGAUGGGCACUCCCUGGUUUUUGUCAAAAUAGAAAGGAAAUGGAAGCAAGACGUAUAUAUAAGGUCCCUGCUCCCAUUUGAAGGUGAGUCCCUACCAACAUGAUAUUUUUUGGUUCUUAAUUCAGCUUGAUUUUUUCUCUAGCCACUUUCAAAUAAGUUAAGCAACAAAGUUACCUCUCAAAGUGAGAUCUGAUUGGCAAAAUAUCUUUUAGGUAUCUUUUUCCUACGAACAAACAAAGACUAUUGAUCUGAGGUCCAUGAGGAACAACAAACACAAAGUCUCUGUAUUCACCUACAGAGACAUUUGCCAUUGCACAGCUGGACUUUGGCAUGCCAUCCUGAACUAGCCCUGAGAUUUGCCAAGAACUUUUAAAUGAUCUUCUAUAGAAUCAGUUUAUCUGUAUUACACCAAACCCAAGCCCUUGUUAUGUUUAGAGGUAUGAAACCAACUGUUUGUUACUAAAUAUUGAACAGGCUAAACACAGUUUUGAGUAAGAAACUUUUGUCACUGGUUUACAUGAAGAGCACUUUGAGAGUGAAUGUCAUGUUACGUGGCUGGCAGAUAGACAUGGAAAGCUUCUUAU